UUGACGGGGCCCGCACAAGCGGUGGAGCAUGUGGUUUAAUCGAAGCAACGCGAAGAACCUUACCAGGUCUUGACAUCCCCUGACAACCCGAGAGAUCGGGCGUUCCCCUUCGGGGGACAGGGUGACAGGUGGUGCAUGGUUGUCGUCAGCUCGUGUCGUGAGAUGUUGGGUUAAGUCCCGCAACGAGCGCAACCCUCGACCUUAGUUGCCAGCAUUCAGUUGGGCACUCUAAGGUGACUGCCGGCUAAAAGUCGGAGGAAGGUGGGGAUGACGUCAAAUCAUCAUGCCCCUUAUGACCUGGGCUACACACGUGCUACAAUGGGCGGUACAAAGGGUCGCGAACCCGCGAGGGGGAGCCAAUCCCAAAAAGCCGCUCUCAGUUCGGAUUGCAGGCUGCAACUCGCCUGCAUGAAGCCGGAAUCGCUAGUAAUCGCGGAUCAGCAUGCCGCGGUGAAUACGUUCCCGGGCCUU
rnacentral:rRNA from 1 species